rnacentral:rRNA from 1 species
CCAGAGUUUGAUCCUGGCUCAGGACGAACGUUUGGCGGCGUGCCUAACACAUGCAAGUCGAGCGAAGCUCAUAGACACAGCUUGCUGUAUUUAUGAGACUGAGCGGCGAACGGGUGAGUAACACGUGGGUUAUCUGCCUUAAAGUCAGGGACAACAGCUGGAAACGGCUGCUAAUACCAGAUGAAGUCUUUUACUUAUAGAAGUUUAAGACCAAAGCGUUAUGUAGCGCUUUAAGAUGAGCCCGCGUCCCAUUAGUUAGUUGGUGGGGUAAUGGCCUACCAAGGCGACGAUGGGUAGCCGGUCUGAGAGGAUGGACGGCCACACUGGAACUGAGACACGGUCCAGACUCCUACGGGAGGCAGCAGUGGGGAAUUUUGCGCAAUGGGGGCAACCCUGACGCAGCGACGCCGCGUGAGCGAUGAAUGCCUUCGGGUUGUAAAGCUCUGUUGAGGGGGAAGAUAGUGACGGUACCCCUUAAGAAAGCCCCGGCUAACUACGUGCCAGCAGCCGCGGUAAGACGUAGGGGGCGAGCGUUGUCCGGAAUUACUGGGCGUAAAGGGCGUGUAGGCGGCCGGCAAAGUCAGCUGUGAAACCCCCCGGCUCAACUGGGGGCUUGCAGUUGAAACUUGCCGGCUUGAGUGCAGGAGAGGAGGGUGGAAUUCCCGGUGUAGCGGUGAAAUGCGUAGAUAUCGGGAGGAACACCGGUGGCGAAGGCGGCCUUCUGGCCUGUUACUGACGCUGAGGCGCGAAAGCUAGGGUAGCAAACAGGAUUAGAUACCCUGGUAGUCCUAGCUGUAAACGCUGGGUACUAGGUGUAGGGGGUUUAGACGCCCUCUGUGCCGUAGUUAACGCAUUAAGUACCCCGCCUGGGGAGUACGAUCGCAAGGUUGAAACUCAAAGGAAUUGACGGGGGCCCGCACAAGCGGUGGAGCACGUGGUUUAAUUCGACGCAACGCGAAGAACCUUACCAGGGCUUGACAUCUAUCUGACGCAUAGUAGAGAUAUUAUGCUCUUUUCGGAGCGGAUAGACAGGUGGUGCAUGGUUGUCGUCAGCUCGUGUCGUGAGAUGUUGGGUUAAGUCCCGCAACGAGCGCAACCCUUAUUCUUAGUUGCCAUCAGGUUAAGCUGGGCACUCUAAGGAGACUGCCGGUGACAAACCGGAGGAAGGUGGGGAUGACGUCAAAUCAUCAUGCCCUUUAUGUCCUGGGCUACACACGUGCUACAAUGGCCGGUACAACGGGUUGCGAGACUGUGAAGUUUAGCCAAUCCCUUAAAGCCGGUCUCAGUUCGGAUUGCAGGCUGCAACUCGCCUGCAUGAAGUCGGAAUCGCUAGUAAUCGCGAAUCAGCACGUCGCGGUGAAUACGUUCCCGGGCCUUGUACACACCGCCCGUCACACCACGAAAGCCGGCAACACCCGAAGCCGGUGGGCCAACCUAUUAGGAGGCAGCCGUCUAAGGUGGGGCUGGUGAUUGGGGUGAAGUCGUAACAAGGUAACCGUA